rnacentral:misc_RNA from 1 species
UAGUUUCCUCUCCUCUCCUCUCCUUUUCUUGCUCUGUAGGCUUUAAUUAAUGCAAUCUUGAGUAUUUUAAUUCAAAACGCCAGUGUGCCCAGUUUCCUCUCCUCCCCUCUCGUUUUCUUGCUUCUCCUUUUCCUUCCCUCUGCUGCUACAAUAUCGGUACCAUUCACAGCUUAAAAACAGCUGCUAAUUUAUCUGCUCCUCCUCCCCAUCAAUCUAACCAGCUUUAGUUCACUCUUAACCAUAAUUUUCCUUCUUGUUUAAAUCUGACCCUAUAUCUCAUAAAUUUAUCAAAAUUUGCCAUAUGAAAUAUGUGCUAUCAGGGGCCUAUAAAUUGAUGAUUAACACCAACAAUAAAGUUGCACUUCAAUUUUAACUCAAAAAUAACAAACAUAAACAAUUUUAAAAAAUUGAUAAGAAAGUGAAAUGGAAAAACUUUUAAUUCCAUAAAAACACUGAAAACGUUUAUUUACUUUUACAUACCUUAA